rnacentral:rRNA from 1 species
GUGGGGAAUUUUGGACAAUGGGCGCAAGCCUGAUCCAGCCAUUCCGCGUGCAGGAUGAAGGCCUUCGGGUUGUAAACUGCUUUUGUACGGAACGAAAAGCCUCUGGUUAAUACCCGGGGGUCAUGACGGUACCGUAAGAAUAAGCACCGGCUAACUACGUGCCAGCAGCCGCGGUAAUACGUAGGGUGCGAGCGUUAAUCGGAAUUACUGGGCGUAAAGCGUGCGCAGGCGGUGAUGUAAGACAGUUGUGAAAUCCCCGGGCUCAACCUGGGAACUGCAUCUGUGACUGCAUUGCUGGAGUGCGGCAGAGGGGGAUGGAAUUCCGCGUGUAGCAGUGAAAUGCGUAGAUAUGCGGAGGAACACCGAUGGCGAAGGCAGUCCCCUGGGCCUGUACUGACGCUCAUGCACGAAAGCGUGGGGAGCAAACAGGAUUAGAAACCCUGGUAGUCC